CCUACGGGUGGCAGCAGUGAGGAAUAUUGGUCAAUGGACGAGAGUCUGAACCAGCCAAGCAGCGUGAAGGAUGACUGCCCUAUGGGUUGUAAACUUCUUUUAUAUGGGAAUAAAACGUUCCACGUGUGGGAUUUUGUAUGUACCAUAUGAAUAAGGAUCGGCUAACUCCGGGCCAGCAGCCGCGGUAAUACGGAGGAUCCGAGCGUUAUCCGGAUUUAUUGGGCUUAAAGGGAGCGUAGGUGGAUUGUUAAGUCAGUUGUGAAAGUUUGCGGCUCAACCGUAGAAUUGCAGUUGAAACUGGCAGUCUUGAGUACAGUAGAGGUGGGCGGAAUUCGUGGUGUAGCGGUGAAAUGCUUAGAUAUCACGAAGAACUCCGAUGGCGAAGGCAGUUCACUGGACUGCAACUGACGCUGAGGCGCGAAAGUGUGGGUAUCAAACAGGAUUAGAUACCCCUGUAGUC
rnacentral:rRNA from 1 species